GAUGAACGCUAGCGGCAGGCUUAAUACAUGCAAGUCGUGGGGCAGCAGGUUUGUAGCAAUACAGAUGCUGGCGACCGGCAAACGGGUGCGGAACACGUACAGAACCUUCCUUUGAGCGGGGAAUAGCCCAGAGAAAUUUGGAUUAAUACCCCAUAGUAUAAUGAAGUGGCAUCACUUUAUUAUUAAAGAUUUAUCACUCGAAGAUGGCUGUGCGGCUGAUUAGGUAGUUGGCGGGGUAAAGGCCCACCAAGCCUGCGAUCAGUAACUGGUGUGAGAGCACGACCAGUCACACGGGCACUGAGACACGGGCCCGACUCCUACGGGAGGCAGCAGUAAGGAAUAUUGGUCAAUGGAGGCAACUCUGAACCAGCCAUGCCGCGUGGAGGAUGAAGGUCCUCUGGAUUGUAAACUUCUUUUAUAUGGGACGAAAAAGGCUUUUCUAAGUCGUCUGACGGUACCAUAUGAAUAAGCACCGGCUAACUCCGUGCCA
rnacentral:rRNA from 1 species